rnacentral:rRNA from 1 species
AGAGUUUGAUCAUGGCUCAGGAUGAACGCUAGCGGCAGGCCUAACACAUGCAAGUCGAGGGGCAGCAUUUCCAGCUUGCUGGAAGAUGGCGACCGGCGCACGGGUGCGCAACGCGUAUGGAACCUGCCCAUUGCUGGGGAAUAGCCCAUGGAAACGUGGAUUAAUGCCCCAUAGUACCGCACCAUCUCCUGAUGGAGCGGUUAAAGCCUUCGGGCGGCGAUGGAUGGCCAUGCGUACCAUUAGCUUGUUGGUAAGGUAACGGCUUACCAAGGCUACGAUGGUUAGGGGCCCUGAGAGGGGGAUCCCCCACACUGGUACUGAGACACGGACCAGACUCCUACGGGAGGCAGCAGUGAGGAAUAUUGGACAAUGGGCGGGAGCCUGAUCCAGCCAUGUCGCGUGCAGGAAGACGGCCCUAUGGGUCUUAAACUGCUUUUGUACGGGAAGAAAAAGGGGCACGUGUGCCCCAUUGACGGUACCGUAAGAAUAAGGACCGGCUAACUCCGUGCCAGCAGCCGCGGUAAUACGGAGGGUCCGAGCGUUAUCCGGAAUUAUUGGGUUUAAAGGGUCCGUAGGCGGGCCAUUAAGUCAGGGGUGAAAGUCUGCAGCUCAACUGUAGAACUGCCUUUGAUACUGGUGGUCUUGAGUUAUGGUGAAGUGGCCGGAAUAUGUGGUGUAGCGGUGAAAUGCAUAGAUAUUACAUAGAACACCGAUUGCGAAGGCAGGUCACUAACCAUCGACUGACGCUGAUGGACGAAAGCGUGGGGAGCGAACAGGAUUAGAUACCCUGGUAGUCCACGCCGUAAACGAUGGAUACUAGCUGUCCGGGACCUUGAGUCCUGGGCGGCCAAGCGAAAGUGAUAAGUAUCCCACCUGGGGAGUACGUUCGCAAGAAUGAAACUCAAAGGAAUUGACGG